rnacentral:rRNA from 1 species
GACGAACGCUGGCGGCGUGCUUAACACAUGCAAGUCGAACGGAAAGGCCCUGCUUUUGUGGGGUGCUCGAGUGGCGAACGGGUGAGUAACACGUGAGUAACCUGCCCUUGACUUUGGGAUAACUUCAGGAAACUGGGGCUAAUACCGGAUAGGAACUCCUGCUGCAUGGUGGGGGUUGGAAAGUUUCGGCGGUUGGGGAUGGACUCGCGGCUUAUCAGCUUGUUGGUGGGGUAGUGGCUUACCAAGGCUUUGACGGGUAGCCGGCCUGGGAGGGUGACCGGCCACAAUGGGACUGAGAUACGGCCCAGCCUACUACGGGAGGAAGCAGUGGGGAAUAUUGUACAAUGGGCGGAAGCCUGAUGAAGCAGCGCCGCGUGCGGGAUGACGGACUUCGGGUUGUAAACCGCUUUCGCCUGUGACGAAGAGUGAGUGACGGUAAUGGGUAAAGAAGCACCGGCUAACUACGUG